rfam:Schistosoma rodhaini strain Burundi genome assembly, scaffold: SROB_scaffold0003976
GUCUAGCUGAUGAGUCUUAAACAGGACGAAGCGUACAUCCUGGAU